UAGCGAAAGCUGCGGUGAAGAACUCUUUA
rnacentral:sRNA from 1 species